AACGAACGCUGGCGGCAUGCCUAACACAUGCAAGUCGAACGAGACCUUCGGGUCUAGUGGCGCACGGGUGCGUAACGCGUGGGAACCUGCCCUUAGGUUCGGAAUACCUCCCCGAAAGGGGUGCUAAUACCGGAUAAUGUCUUCGGACCAAAGAUUUAUCGCCUUUGGAUGGGCCCGCGUUGGAUUAGCUGGUUGGUAGGGUAAAAGCCUACCAAGGCGACGAGCCAUAGCUGGUCUGGGGGGAUGGUCAACCCCACUGGGACGGGGACCCGGCCCAAACCCUUAGGGGAGGGAGGAGGGGGGAAUAUGGAAAAAUGGGCGAAAGCGGGAGCCCGAAGGGCCGGGUGAGGGAGGAAGGGGUGAGGGUUAGAAGCGUUUUUUACCGGGGAAGAAAAGGAAGGACCCGGGGAAAAAACCCCGGGUAAACUCCGG
rnacentral:rRNA from 1 species